UGGUAUAUUUUUUGGCAUAAUACUAGAAUGAAUCUUUAUUUCUCCCUCCCUCUCGGCCUCUCCUCCCCCAUGUUGGGUUUUGAAACAGGAAACCUCGGCUGGCAUCAGUAUUUUAGCGACCUCAAACAUACUUCCAGGCACGUUCUCUUUCCCUCUUAUGCAUUUCAAGUAUGAUCUUGUUGUUUCAUCAGUAUUGUCGUCUUAAAACUGUUCCUCUCGGGAAAUUGUUAACCAGUAUUUCCUGUUGCAUGGCAAUUGGCAUGUUUUCAUCGGUUUGAAUGUGAUCCCUUUCCUUUAUUCCUUUGCUAAUAAGCACAAGCUAUCCACUGGUCCACCAAGGUAAAGGGUAAUGCAACAGUUGAAUCUUAUCAAGUACCCAAAGACCACGAAGAAAAAAUGGAUCUAUCAUCCAUGCAAGAAAGGGUUACUAGCUAUUGUAAAUGGUUUAUUUGAUUAAGACUUAGCUGGUUUGAAUCAACUUAUAGAUGCUCAGAUCACAAUAAGCAUAGAAACCUGUGUUAGCAAUACCCAACAAUCCGUUUUUCCUUUCCAGUUAUUUAGCAUUAUAAAACACUACUUCA
rnacentral:lncRNA from 1 species